UACGUAGGGGGCUAGCGUUGUCCGGAAUCAUUGGGCGUAAAGAGCGUGUAGGCGGCCCGGUAAGUCCGCUGUGAAAGUCGGGGGCUCAACCCUCGAAAGCCGGUGGAUACUGUCGGGCUAGAGUGCGGAAGAGGCGAGUGGAAUUCCUGGUGUAGCGGUGAAAUUCGUAGAUAUUCGGAAGAACACCAGUGGCGAAGGCGACUUACUGGACACAUAUUGACGCUGAGGUGCGAAAGCGUGGGGAGCAAACAGG
rnacentral:rRNA from 1 species